GUUGUAUAGUCAAGUAAUUAAGUGCAUGUGGUGGAUGCCUUGGCAGUCAGAGGCGAUGAAAGACGUGAUAGCCUGCGAAAAGCUCCGGGGAGGCGGCAAAUAUCCUUUGAUCCGGAGAUGUCUGAAUGGGGGAACCCACCUACUUUAAGGUAGGUAUUGCAACAUGAAUACAUAGUGUUGCAAGGCGAACGAGGGGAAGUGAAACAUCUCAGUACCCUUAGGAAAAGAAAUCAAUUGAGAUUCCCUCAGUAGCGGCGAGCGAACGGGGAUCAGCCCAUUAAGUUAUGUGUGUUUUAGUGGAACGCUCUGGGAAGUGCGAACGUAGAGGGUGAUAUUCCCGUACACGAAAGGGCACACAUAAUGAUGACGAGUAGGGCGAGGCACGUGAAACCUUGUCUGAAUAUGGGGGGACCAUCCUCCAAGGCUAAAUACUCCUGACUGACCGAUAGUGAACCAGUACCGUGAGGGAAAGGCGAAAAGAACCCCUGUGAGGGGAGUGAAAUAGAUCCUGAAACCGCAUGCAUACAAGCAGUGGGAGCACCUUCGUGGUGUGACUGCGUACCUUUUGUAUAAUGGGUCAGCGACUUAUAUUCAGUAGCAAGGUUAACCGUAUAGGGGAGCCGUAGAGAAAUCGAGUCUUAAUAGGGCGUUUAGUUGCUGGGUAUAGACCCGAAACCAGGCGAUCUAUCCAUGAGCAGGUUGAAGGUUGGGUAACACUAACUGGAGGACCGAACCCACUGUCGUUGAAAAGCCAGGGGAUGACUUGUGGAUAGGGGUGAAAGGCUAAUCAAGCCUGGUGAUAGCUGGUUCUCCCCGAAAGCUAUUUAGGUAGCGCCUCGGACGAAUACCAUAGGGGGUAGAGCACUGUUUCGGCUAGGGGGUCAUCCCGACUUACCAAACCGAUGCAAACUCCGAAUACCUAUGAGUACUAUCCGGGAGACAGACUGCGGGUGCUAACGUCCGUAGUCAAGAGGAAAACAAUCCAGACCGCCAGCUAAGGCCCCAAAAUCAUAGUUAAGUGGGAAACGAUGUGGGAAGGCAUAGACAGCUAAGGAGGUUGGCUUAGAAGCAGCCACCCUUUAAAGAAAGCGUAAUAGCUCACUAGUCGAGUCGGCCUGCGCGGAAGAUGUAACGGGGCUAAAACUAUGUGCCGAAGCUGCGGAU
rnacentral:rRNA from 1 species